AGACUGGAAUGAAUGGAUAUAUUGAGGCAAUACUUUCUUAGAUUAAGGAUUAAAAGUAAAUUUUUUAGUGAGGAAGCUAAAAUUUAGGUGAGGGACGAGAAGACCCUAUUAAGCUUCAUAUAAAUAUUUUGUUGGGGAAACAAAAGGAUAAAAUUCCUUUGUAAAUAUUUUUUGAUAAAAUGUUGAUUUAUUAUUAAUAAUAAUAGAGUAAGUUACUAUAGGGAUAACAGCAUAAUUUUUUUUAAAAGUUCUUAUUGACAAAAAAGGUUAUGACCUCGAUGUUGGAUUAAAAUUAUUAUAUAAUGUAGUUGUUGUAUAAAUUAG
rnacentral:rRNA from 1 species